CUCAGCUACCACUGCAAAGUAACUUAGAUAGGUAAACGUUUUAUUAGAGAAAAGGCAACCCUAAAUAUCUUGCAAGACCAAGUCUUGUCCUGCUUACACUCUUCCCCCUCAACUACCUUCAAGAGAGAAGCAGCUGAAAAACAGCCAGGAUUGACCCCUGGCAGAGGUGGAGGAUGGCAGCAGAAGAAUGGAGGUCCCCCUGGGUUAGCAGGCUGAAGGCAGCUUGGCUUGGCCUAGAGGGCUCAACCAACAGGGAGGAUGUGUGGGGGAAGGGAGUCGGGAGGGGGAAGGGAGCUUAUAGUUAUGGUUCAGGAAUCUGAUGGAGAUGGAAGAGAGGCAAAGCAAGAAUAGAGGUCUCCCUGGGAUGGGAGGAGUUAACUGUAGAAGGACCUGCAGCAUCUGCACUUCGGAGCCAUCUAUGUCCCAGUCUCAGGCAGGCUGCAGUGCAAGCAGUCUGUACAGCAGGUUGCCUUCAGAUCAAGAUGCAGAACUCUCAACUCCUCCCAUGCUAUGCCUGCCUGAACAAUGCCACAGUUCCCCAUUGAUAAUGGACUGAACCUCAGAACUUGUAAGCCAGCCCCAAUUAAAUAAUGUCUUUGAGAAGA